GUUCAGAACUGGUUUAUGGAAACCCAGUAUUUUUGCCGUGGUUCCGAUAACUCAUACUAGCUUUAUUUGAAAUCAAAAAACCAAACAAUUUUUGGCUGGUCGAGACUAAUGAGAAGAAUUUCCAUAAGCUCUCUUUUAUAGACUUUCACUUCAAUUGGCUUGAAAUUUGGGAGAAAUUUGCUUGACAUGUUGUACUAUUAGAUGAAAAACGAAAAAAAUAAAAUAGAUUUUUUGAAAUUUCCAUACUCAUGUAACCCCUUCACAAAAUAAUCAAACACACCGAUUUGUAAAUUGGUUUGGAGUACACAAUCGUCAGCUACAAAACGCACUUCAAUUCUUUCUUCAUUCCGGGACACCAAACUUCUUCAUUUUAUGCUCUCAACGGUGCCUUGAAUCCCCGGCGGAAUGAAUAUCUUACGUUAUGAAAGUCGAAGACACAGUCGACACAGUGCAAGAAUGGCACAGUACCGGCGUUAUUUGCAAACUGCCUUAAGUGGAACUUAACGUCACACAAAAUUCAACUGCGUCUGCAACGCUACACAACUGUUGGGGGUUGGAGCUGUAAGUCACAAUUUCAUAAUGUUUUUCCGAAGUUCAUGUAAGAAGUUGUUGAUUUAUUUCCAGUUCUUAGACCUUUACGAUCCUGAAGUUUCGCUAACUCCAGAUUAUGCUUCUACUCGAAUCUUCUACCUUCACCAUGUAACAAGAUUUGAAAAUCACCAAGGCAGUUACGUGCUAAUUUUUGCAUAUGCGAUGCAUCUAAUAUUAGGCUGGGCUCCACGACAUUCGUCUGAUUGUGAGGCUUUGAUGACGUCGAAUCUCCGGAUCGUACUACAGCAUAGAUUUCAAACGUUUGCUCAGGCUGCACCUUGAUCGUUUUCGAAACGAAUAUCAAGACUAAGGUAAAAGCGACAAUAAGAGUCCCCAUGUCGACGUAGGAUUUUACUGAAGGAGGUACUCGUACAUCGAGGUACCGAAGAUGAUGUUCACGAUCUUCUUGGAACAUCAGAUACUCAAUUCAGAACAUGGUGGUACCUGUCAGCAUCGCGAAGCUCACGACAAUAUCAAUACCGAUGGCCUUGACAUUCGUCGAAAAUAAAACUUCUACAGAGGACCACGCGACACCAAUAAAAAUGAAGGGACCAAUUAUAGCACAAAAACAAGUAUUGAAGGCCGAAGCGUCACGUGUUGAAAGAGUAUACGAGCAACAACUCACCUGAUCCCGUCGCAGAUGUCCCUUCGGUCUCCUUCCCGACAAGUAUAGAAUGAUGUACAAAUCUCGUUGGGUGCCUUCACUUUCUUCCACUCAAUGUUGAAAAAUCGAAGUGAUCUCAGUUACUUGAUCACACCUGACGAUUUCACGAGGAGCAGCUUGUUCUUUACCAUAGCACGGCAGAAUGGCGUCCAGUCACCGAAGGACGCGUCAUGACGGUUAUAAUUUGCGGCCAAGGGACCGAACGGUGCAGGACGAGACGCGUCUGCAGCGCCACCCUGCGUUGUUUCAAUGCACUAAAUGAGGAUCGGUGGGCCUAUGGGACUCGCUAGGCCCUGUAGUCAGGGAGCCAGCAACGGGUUACGUCACAGCUUACAAUUACACCAUCAGGCUAGAACAAAUUCACGAAUUCUCCCUUCCAACGUAGGAACAAGUGAAUGCGGUAUCUGGCACUCCUUCUAGGGUUACUUUAGCGCCCCUACCAUUUUUAAGAGUGAGAAACAAACAUUAGUCGCAACAUUUGCAUCAGCAUGGUACAUUGAAGUUUUAAAGUUGAUAAUGUUCCAAAUAAGUAAAACAAUUUCCAGGCAAGACGGUGGGUUAAAAGUGGGUGCCAGAGGGAGUUAACGCUCCCUAACAAACUGCACUAUUUAACCUGAUUUAUUAUCGUUGAAUAGAUAGCCAAAAAGCAAAAUUGUCGAUGCCAGAACAAAAUUCCAUUUGAAACACCCCGCCAGGUCAGAUAAAGACCCCGCCCGAUUGCGAGUGCGAAUGAAACAGUCUUAUGCGCAUUUGUAUUUCAGAAUAAAAUUUUGAACUCAGAUAUUAGGAUUAUACUGUGAAUAACGCGACCUGAGAGUGAAUAUUGCUAAAUAACAGUAACAAAUAAUGAAUAAUAGUAUAUAAUUAUAAUUAAUAAUACGUAAGCUCACCCUGCUAUACAUAUAAAAAUGUUACGAAAUAAAAAUCUGUUAAUCGAAAAUAACUGUAGCGCCCGUUCUCUAAUCUGCGCAAAUUUAGGCUCUUUUUCCUUAUCAUUUAAGAUGUUCGGGUCAAGAUUUUUC
rnacentral:lncRNA from 1 species